rnacentral:rRNA from 1 species
UCCACGCCCUAAACGAUGAGAACUAGAUGUUGGGGGAUAAAUUCCUUUAGUGUCGUAGCUAACGCGUUAAGUUCUCCGCCUGGGGAGUACGACCGCAAGGUUAAAACUCAAAUGAAUUGACGGGGGCCCGCACAAGCGGUGGAGCAUGUGGUUUAAUUCGAUGCAACGCGAAGAACCUUACCUACCCUUGACAUCCUCAGAACUUGUUAGAGAUAACUUGGUGCCUUCAGGAA